AAAAAUUCAUUUACUAUUAAUUUUUUUAAAAUAAUUAAGAGAAAUAUCUUUUAUUUUAGUAUUCUAUUGAAAUAAUUAUUUUUGUAAUAGUUUAUUAGUACUGUAGGGUAAUAUUGAAAUAUUUUGAAAUAGUUAUUUUAUUAUAAGCAUACUUUUUUUGUAGUACCUUUUGUAUCAGGGGUGAUUAAUUUUAUUUAAUUUAU
rnacentral:rRNA from 1 species